rnacentral:lncRNA from 1 species
AUCGAGUGAGCCUAGGGAUGGGGACUCACCGCUAGAUAGGACUGAGAUCCCUAGAAGUCCCUAAGUUCCACAAAUACGUACCCAGCAUAGGUAGGAGAUAUCACCCAUUAGAUAGGACUAACAUACUCAUGGAUCACCUGUUAGUGCAUUUAAAUAUAUAGGACUGAUCCUAGGUGUCACUCGCUAGAUUAGGACUGACUCCAUAGUAUUUGUCUUUACCAGUGGCGCGGUACUGACACC